UACGUAGGCAGCGAGCGUUGUUCGGAGUUACUGGGCGUAAAGCGUGCGUAGGCGGUUGUCUAAGUCCGUGGGGAAAUCUCUAAGCUUAACUUGGAAAUUGCCGUGGAUACUAUAAGUCUUGAAUAUUGUGGAGGUUAGCGGAAUAUGUCAUGUAGCGGUGAAAUGCAUAGAUAUGACAUAGAACACCAAUUGCGAAGGCAGCUGGCUACACAACUAUUGACGCUGAGGCACGAAAGCGUGGGGAUCAAACAGG
rnacentral:rRNA from 1 species